GACAUAUGUUUUGCUCCAGAACUACUUGGCCCCCGAGGAGCUGUCCACGACAGUAGAGAAGGUGUCAGCCGUUGCUCUGCUUAACCAGGCAUUGGAAACUGAGGAUCUUGAUUUGACCCAGGAUCGUCUCAGAAAUCCCUCAAUUGACUUCAAUAACCUGGAUGAAGCACACUUGGAACGGUACGCUAGCAGGCUCAUGUCCAUCAAAAGAGAAGCCUCAUCUCAAGGACAGGAUAACCUGAGGAGGGAUGAAAUGCAGAAUCAAAUCGAUAGGGUCAAUGAGGAAAUUCAAGAAGCUGAAAUUCAAGCAGAAGAAAUGCAUGCUGCAGUCAUUGAAAUCAUUGAAGCCAUUAAGAAGGGCAUCGCAGAAGAGACUCUUGUAACUCUCAAGAAUCCCAAAGCCGCUUUAAAGUAUGUGCAUGAUAACCUCGCUGGGAAUUAUCAAAAGGAACUUUGGGAAGCCAUACAGCAGAAAGAAGAGAAGGUACUUUAUUCGCUAAUGAUUAAACGUAAAACAUAGUUAAGGGUGUUCCUCGGUGCUGGAAAUAGAACAGUUGUCAGCUGAUAA